CCUACGGGAGGCAGCAGUGAGGAAUAUUGGUCAAUGGACGAGAGUCUGAACCAGCCAAGUAGCGUGAAGGAUGACUGCCCUAUGGGUUGUAAACUUCUUUUAUAUGGGAAUAAAACGUUCCACGUGUGGGAUUUUGUAUGUACCAUAUGAAUAAGGAUCGGCUAACUCCGUGCCAGCAGCCGCGGUAAUACGGAGGAUCCGAGCGUUAUCCGGAUUUAUUGGGUUCAAAGGGAGCGUAGGUGGAUUGUUAAGUCAGUUGUGAAAGUUUGCGGCUCAACCGUAAAAUUGCAGUUGAAACUGGCAGUCUUGAGUACAGUAGAGGUGGGCGGAAUUCGUGGUGUAGCGGUGAAAUGCUUAGAGAUCACGAAGAACUCCGAUUGCGAAGGCAGUUCACUGGACUGCAACUGACACUGAGGCUCGAAAGUGUGGGUAUCAAACAGGAUUAGAUACCCUAGUAGUC
rnacentral:rRNA from 1 species